rnacentral:ncRNA from 1 species
UAAAAGACUAUGAAGGGAAAUAGUAAAUAGAACAGUUAUUUAAGAGAGUCGGCGGUUGGUGGAAGUCGAUAUAACUGUCUAUUGAAUCCGUCCCAGAGUUAUUAAGCUGAAAAAAAUUAGUAAGCUUAAUCGGUUGGCAACCGUUAAUAUGCUUAAGAGAGGGCUUUUAAAGCCAAUAAGGGUGGCAACGCGGGAACAAUCUCUCGUCCCUAAU